rnacentral:rRNA from 1 species
GACGAACGCUGGCGGCGUGCCUAAUACAUGCAAGUCGAGCGAAGUUUUUCUGGUGCUUGCACUAGAAAAACUUAGCGGCGAACGGGUGAGUAACACGUAAAGAACCUGCCUCAUAGACUGGGACAACUAUUGGAAACGAUAGCUAAUACCGGAUAACAGCAUUAACUGCAUGGUUGAUGUUUAAAAGUUGGUUUUGCUAACACUAUGAGAUGGCUUUGCGGUGCAUUAGCUAGUUGGUGGGGUAAAGGCCUACCAAGGCGACGAUGCAUAGCCGACCUGAGAGGGUGAUCGGCCACACUGGGACUGAGACACGGCCCAGACUCCUACGGGAGGCAGCAGUAGGGAAUCUUCCGCAAUGGGCGAAAGCCUGACGGAGCAACGCCGCGUGAGUGAAGAAGGAUUUCGGUUCGUAAAGCUCUGUUGUUAGGGAAGAAUGAUUGAGUAGUAACUAUACACAGUAGAGACGGUACCUAACCAGAAAGCCACGGCUAACUACGUGCCAGCAGCCGCGGUAAUACGUAGGUGGCAAGCGUUGUCCGGAAUUAUUGGGCGUAAAGCGCGCGCAGGUGGUUUAAUAAGUCUGAUGUGAAAGCCCACGGCUCAACCGUGGAGGGUCAUUGGAAACUGUUAAACUUGAGUGCAUGAGAGAAAAGUGGAAUUCCUAGUGUAGCGGUGAAAUGCGUAGAGAUUAGGAGGAACACCAGUGGCGAAUGCGGUGUUUUUGGGCCUGUAACUGACACUGAGGCGCGAAAGCGUGGGGAGCAAACGGAUUUGAUUCCCUGGUGUCCAUGGGCGAAUCCACUGUGGAUAUCAUGCUUUGCGAUGCGAAGGUGGGGGGGGUGGCAGAGUGAUCUGCUCUGUGCCCGUAAAUGGUAUUA